rnacentral:rRNA from 1 species
ACUAAAUAGAUACCCCCGGUAGUCCACGCCGUAAACGAUGAUAACUGGUUGUUGGCGAUAUACAGUCAGCGACUGAGCGAAAAAGCAUUAAGUUAUCCACCUGGGGAGUACGUCGGCAACGAUGAAACUCAAAGGAAUUGACGGGGGCCCGGCACAAGCGGAGGAACAUGUGGUUUAAAUUCGAUGAUACGCGAGGAACCUUACCUGGGCUCGAACGUAGGAGGAAUAUAGGGGAAACCGUUAUAGCUAGCAAUAGCCGCCUACGAGGUGCUGCAUGGUUGUCGUCAGCUCGUGCCGUGAGGUGUCGGCUUAAGUGCCAUAACGAGCGCAACCCUUAUUGUUAGUUGCCAGCGGGUUAAGCCGGGGUACUCUAACAAAACCUGCCAGCGUAAGCUGUGAGGAAGGCGGGGAUGACGUCAAAUCAGCACGGCCCUUACGGUCCAGGGCCACACACGUGUUACAAUGGUUGGUACAGAGGGCAGCUACCCCGGCGAGGGGUAGUGCGAAUCUCUAAAGCCAACUCUCAGUUCGGUAUUGGAGUCUGCAA